rnacentral:rRNA from 1 species
CGGACGGGUGAGCAAUGUCUGGGAAACUGCCUGAUGGAGGGGGAUAACUACUGGAAACGGUAGCUAAUACCGCAUAACGUCGCAAGACCAAAGAGGGGGACCUUCGGGCCUCUUGCCAUCGGAUGUGCCCAGAUGGGAUUAGCUAGUAGGUGGGGUAAAGGCUCACCUAGGCGACGAUCCCUAGCUGGUCUGAGAGGAUGACCAGCCACACUGGAACUGAGACACGGUCCAG